UACGUAGGGGGCAAGCGUUGUCCGGAAUUAUUGGGCGUAAAGAGCGUGUAGGCGGCCAGAUAAGUCCGCUGUGAAAUCUCGAGGCUCAACUUCGAGCUGUCGGUGGAAACUAUCUGGCUAGAGUCCGGAAGAGGAGAAUGGAAUUCCUGGUGUAGCGGUGAAAUGCGCAGAUAUCAGGAAGAACACCCGUGGCGAAGGCGGUUCUCUGGGACGUUACUGACGCUGAUACGCGAAAGCUUGGGGAGCAAACAGG
rnacentral:rRNA from 1 species